UAAGGAAUAUUGGUCAAUGGACGCAAGUCUGAACCAGUCAUGCCGCGUGAAGGAUGAAGGUCCUCUGGAUUGUAAACUUCUUUUAUCUGGGACGAAAACGGGAUUUUUAUCUCAAUUGACGGUACCAGAGGAAUAAGCACCGGCUAACUCCGUGCCAGCAGCCGCGGUAAUACGGAGGGUGCGAGCGUUAUCCGGAUUUACUGGGUUUAAAGGGUGCGUAGGUGGGCUUAUAAGUCAGUGGUGAAAUCUCCGAGCUUAACUUGGAAACUGUCGUUGAUACUAUAGGUCUUGAAUUAUCUGGAGGUAAGCGGAAUAUGUCAUGUAGCGGUGAAAUGCUUAGAUAUGACAUAGAACACCAAUUGCGAAGGCAGCUUACUACAUAUAAAUUGACGCUGAGGCACGAAAGCGUGGGGAUCAAACA
rnacentral:rRNA from 1 species